CAGCAGCCACGGUAACACGUGGGUGGCAAGCGUUGUCCGGAAUUAUUGGGCGUAAAGCGCGCGCAGGUGGUUUAAUAAGUCUGAUGUGAAAGCCCACGGCUCAACCGUGGAGGGUCAUUGGAAACUGUUAAACUUGAGUGCAGGAGAGAAAAGUGGAAUUCCUAGUGUAGCGGUGAAAUGCGUAGAGAUUAGGAGGAACACCAGUGGCGAAGGCGGCUUUUUGGCCUGUAACUGACACUGAGGCGCGAAAGCGUGGGGAGCAAACAGGAUUAGAUACCCCGGUAGUCCCUGUCUCUUAUAC
rnacentral:rRNA from 1 species